rnacentral:rRNA from 1 species
UACGUAGGGUGCGAGCGUUAAUCGGAAUUACUGGGCGUAAAGGGCGCGUAGGCGGAUGGCACAGUCAGAUGUGAAAUUCCCGGGCUUAACCUGGGGGCUGCAUUUGAUACGUGUGAUCUAGAGUGAGGAAGAGGGUCGUGGAAUUCCCAGUGUAGAGGUGAAAUUCGUAGAUAUUGGGAAGAACACCGGUGGCGAAGGCGGCGACCUGGUCCUUGACUGACGCUGAGGCGCGAAAGCGUGGGGAGCAAACAGG